rnacentral:hammerhead_ribozyme from 1 species
GCACUGCUGAUGAGACCCCACCAGGUCGAAACAGCUGUCCAGAGC